GUGGUCCUGAGGUACAGUACUUAAGAUAACCCUGUGAAGGCUGAGAUUGAUAUUUGAAAUUCACAACUGAUCUUGGAGCCUGGUACAGCAGUCAUGGAUUUGUUCAUGUGUGGAUGUGAUGGAACUGAAGUCGCUAGGUUCAUGCUACCUGGAACAUGAGACUGACAAAUAGAGGAGCACUGAGUCAAAUGAAUCUCGGAGAAAUGGAGCUGGAAGAAAACUGGAGAAUGAAAGAAAAGAUAUACGCAAAGUGGAUUCUAAUCAUAGGUGAGGACUAAUUUUUGUUUUAAGGACUCAGCAUGCAGGAAAUAAUAUACAAGUAUUAGCUCUUAUUAAUGAUAACAAUGGGAGGCAUAUAUAAUUUCUUGAUUAAAGCAAAUGCCAGCCUUAGUUAUCAGGUUUUCUUUUUGUCAUCACUUUGCCCAUUUUCUUAAACUCAUAUCUUUACAAUAGAAUUAAAUUUUUUUUGGCUAAAUCAAUCAACAAAAAGUCUAUUUUCU
rnacentral:lncRNA from 1 species